UAGAGGAAGUAAAAGUCGUAACAAGGUCUCCGUUGGUGAACCAGCGGAGGGAUCAUUGCUGGAACGCGCCCCAGGCGCACCCAGAAACCCUUUGUGAACUUAUACCUUACUGUUGCCUCGGCGCUAGCUGGUCCUUCGGGGCCCCUCACCCUCGGGUGUUGAGACAGCCCGCCGGCGGCCAACCCAACUCUUGUUUUUACACUGAAACUCUGAGAAUAAAACAUAAAUGAAUCAAAACUUUCAACAACGGAUCUCUUGGUUCUGGCAUCGAUGAAGAACGCAGCGAAAUGCGAUAAGUAAUGUGAAUUGCAGAAUUCAGUGAAUCAUCGAAUCUUUGAACGCACAUUGCGCCCUCUGGUAUUCCGGAGGGCAUGCCUGUUCGAGCGUCAUUUCAACCCUCAAGCCUGGCUUGGUGAUGGGGCACUGCUUUUACCCAAGAGCAGGCCCUGAAAUUCAGUGGCGAGCUCGCCAGGACCCCGAGCGCAGUAGUUAAACCCUCGCUCUGGAAGGCCCUGGCGGUGCCCUGCCGUUAAACCCCCAACUUCUGAAAAUUGACCUCGGAUCAGGUAGGAAUACCCGCUGAACUUAAGCAUA
rnacentral:rRNA from 1 species